rnacentral:rRNA from 1 species
CCUACGGGGGGCAGCAGUGAGGAAUAUUGGUCAAUGGGCGCGAGCCUGAACCAGCCAAGUCGCGUGAGGGAUGACGGUCCUACGGAUUGUAAACUGCUUUUAGUUGGGAAUAAAAGGGGGCUCGUGAGCCCCGUAUUGUAUGUACCAUCAGAAAAAGGACCGGCUAAUUCCGUGCCAGCAGCCGCGGUAAUACGGAAGGUCCGGGCGUUAUCCGGAUUUAUUGGGUUUAAAGGGAGCGUAGGCCGGCUUUUAAGUCAGCUGUGAAAGUCCGCGGCUCAACCGUGGAAUUGCAGUUGAAACUGGAGGCCUUGAGUGCACACAGGGAUGCCGGAAUUCAUGGUGUAGCGGUGAAAUGCAUAGAUAUCACGCAGAACUCCGAUUGCGAAGGCAGCAUACCGGCGCCCGACUGACGCUGAGGCACGAAAGCGUGGGGAUCGAACAGGAUUAGAUACCCUGGUAGUC